rnacentral:rRNA from 1 species
AUUGAACGCUGGCGGCAGGCCUAACACAUGCAAGUCGAGCGGAUGAAGGGAGCUUGCUCCUGGAUUCAGCGGCGGACGGGUGGGUAAUGCCUAGGAAUCUGCCUGGUAGUGGGGGAUAACGUCCGGAAACGGGCGCUAAUACCGCAUACGUCCUGAGGGAGAAAGUGGGGGAUCUUCGGACCUCACGCUAUCAGAUGAGCCUAGGUCGGAUUAGCUAGUUGGUGGGGUAAAGGCCUACCAAGGCGACGAUCCGUAACUGGUCUGAGAGGAUGAUCAGUCACACUGGUACUGAGACACGGUCCAGACUCCUACGGGAGGCAGCAGUGGGGAAUAUUGGACAAUGGGCGAAAGCCUGAUACAGCCAUGCCGCGUGUGUGAAGAAGGUCUUCGGAUUGUAAAGCACUUUAAGUUGGGAGGAAGGGCAGUAAGUUAAUACCUUACUGUUUUGACGUUACCAACAGAAUAAGCACCGGCUAACUUCGUG